GAAUCUCUCAGACUUUUCAAGGUGAACACCUGAGAAGAGCAGCACUACAAAGCAGGAAUCAUCUUCACUAGAAAAAGUUUCAGAUGCUUUGUGAAGUUUGAAAGCAACAAACAACUCAUAAUGAAUCUUAUGAAAAAGCCUGACCUUGAUGGGUACGAACGCACGUGGGAGUAUUGACCUCCUGCCUCUCCCACCCGACAGAGGCUGAUGGAGAAGGAACUGCCAAGGAAUUCCAUGUUAACUUCAGCCAUCUCU